CGGCAAUACAAAUCAGUAACACACUAAAACCUAAUAUCGAAGCUGUAACACCGCCAAUUAAUGGUCCCACAAGAGACCCUGCGCUGACUGAACUUUGCAGUCUUCCUAAUACCUUUCCACGAUCUUC
rnacentral:sRNA from 1 species